rnacentral:lncRNA from 1 species
ACAGACAGUCACUGUGUGUCCCUAGUCCCUCCUCCUCUACAGACAGUCACUGUGUGUCCCUCCUCCUCUACAGACAGUCACUGUGUGUCCCUCCUCCUCUACAGACAGUCACUGUGUGUCCCUCCUCCUCUACAGACAGUCACUGUGUGUCCCUCCUCCUCUACAGACAGUCACUGUGUGUCCCUAGUCCCUCUUCCUCUACAGACAGUCACUGUGUGUCCCUCUUCCUCUACAGACAGUCACUGUGUGUCCCUCCUCCUCUACAGACAGUCACUGUGUGUCCCUCCUCCUCUACAGACAGUCACUGUGUGUCCCUCCUCCUCUACAGACAGUCACUGUGUGUCCCUCCUCCUCUACAGACAGUCACUGUGUGUCCCUAGUCCCUCUUCCUCUACAGACAGUCACUGUGUGUCCCUCUUCCUCUACAGACAGUCACUGUGUGUCCCUCUUCCUCUACAGACAGUCACUGUGUGUCCCUCCUCCUCUACAGACAGUCACUGUGUGUCCCUCCUCCUCUACAGACAGUCACUGUGUGUCCCUCCUCCUCUACAGACAGUCACUGUGUGUCCUAGCCUCUCCUCUACAGACAGUCACUGUGUGUCCCUAGUCCCUCUUCCUCUACAGACAGUCACUGUGUGUCCCUCUUCCUCUACAGACAGUCACUGUGUGUCCCUCCUCCUCUACAGACAGUCACUGUGUGUCCCUAGUCCCUCCUCUACUUUCCUCUGCAUGCUGUGGAGUUCACCAGGACUUCUCCAUGAACGGUGUGGGUCUGCUGCUUCACACACACACUGGGUGUCUUCCAGGUGGUCUGUUUUUGCAGUCAUGAUGCACAUCUCAGAAGAUCACAAUACGUCAUAUUUACGAGCUGCCUGAGAUGUUAAAAAAACCUCUCCGGGCAUUGCGACUCGGGAACGCACCCACACCCUCAAUGCUAAUACUGUAAACAUGUCUGUCUUUUUCUGCAGUUUCCUUCCUAAUACUGUAAACAUGUCUGUGUGUUUUUCUGCAGUUUCCUUCCUCAAUGCUAAUACUGUAAACAUGUCUGUGUGUUUUUCUGCAGUUUCCUUCCUAAUAUUGUAAACAUGUCUGUGUGUUUUUCUGCAGUUUCCUUCCUAAUACUGUAAACAUGUCUGUGUAUUUUCUGCAGUUUCCUUCCUAAUACUGUAAACAUGUCUGUGUGUUUUCUGCAGUUUCCUUCCUAAUACUGUAAAACAUGUCUGUGUGUUUUCUGCUGUUUCCUUCCAGCCCUACCACAGUGAGGUGCAUUGUUAGCUCAACACAACAGUGUAAAUAUUGUGUAAAGUAAAAGUGUCAGGGAUUCAUGGUAAACAUCGCAUUCCUCCGACGUCUUGUGAUACAUGCUAUACACACGUACUGUAACUAUGGUGUAAUUUUUGGUGAACUUUUCUGUUUUGUAAAAUAAUAUAAAAUGUAUGAGGAUAACAAUAAUAGCUUAUUAAAUAUAAUUGUGAAAAACAAAAGUGAUA